UCCUGAAGGCAGUGGGGUGUAGC
rnacentral:miRNA from 1 species